CUGAACGACAUGGUAUUUUGAAGCCCCUUGAAAACUCUUACCUCCAACUCCAUACAUCACUACUUGAGUUGAUGAAGUAUACCAAGUCCCGUUGCAAAGGUUACAAAGAGUACUUCUCAAAAUACCAAGAGGACUUGGACAGCAGUCUGAAUGAAGAUAAAAGAAUCGAAUGUGGCCUGCAGUUUGCUGUGCAACUUCUGCCAUCGCUUUUUAGAGAGGAUGCGACGUAUCUACUCGCUGAUUCGAAUGAGAAUAUCAAAUCUCCAGCUCCAGUUCUUACCUGUGAAGGAGGCGAAUACCAGCUUCACAUCAACGGGGCACCUCUUCUGGCAACAAAAUCAUCAAAGUUUACAAAUGCUUUGGAAGCUCUGUUUCAGUCAUAUUGGGUAUUUUCGUUGGAAUACCCGAAGGAAAUAGAAAAGACGUUACUGUUCUUAGAGUCAUACAUAUUUCAACAC